rnacentral:rRNA from 1 species
UACAGAGGGUGCAAGCGUUAAUCGGAAUUACUGGGCGUAAAGCGCGCGUAGGUGGUUUUGUAAGUUGGAGGUGAAAUCCCCGGGCUCAACCUGGGAACUGCCUCCAAAACUGCAAAGCUAGAGUACGGUAGAGGGUGGUGGAAUUUCCUGUGUAGCGGUGAAAUGCGUAGAUAUAGGAAGGAACACCAGUGGCGAAGGCGACCACCUGGACUGAUACUGACACUGAGGUGCGAAAGCGUGGGGAGCAAACAGG